rnacentral:miRNA from 1 species
UACCAUUAGAAGAGCUGGAAGA